rnacentral:rRNA from 1 species
UACGUAGGGGGCAAGCGUUGUCCGGAAUCAUUGGGCGUAAAGAGCGUGUAGGCGGCCAGAUAAGUCUGCUGUGAAAUCUCGAGGCUCAACUUCGAGCUGUCGGUGGAAACUGUCUGGCUAGAGUCCGGAAGAGGAGAAUGGAAUUCCUGGUGUAGCGGUGAAAUGCGCAGAUAUCAGGAGGAACACCGGUGGCGAAGGCGGGUCUCUGGGCCGAUACUGACGCUGAGGAGCGAAAGCGUGGGGAGCGAACAGG